UACUGAGUCAAUGGACAUGAAUUUGAGCAAACGAUGCGAGAUGGUGAAGGACAGGGAGGUCUGGUGAGCUGCAGUCCAUGGGGUUACAAAGAGUCGGACACGACUGAGCUACUGAACAACAAAGUAAAUUUUGUAUCAGUUAUGUGUAGAGUUGGUAAUAUUUUAGAUAAAUGGGGUAAAAACAUUUUAAACUGAUUUCACCUAUUUUUUCUUAGUCUCUUAGUGUGGCUACUGGAAAGCUUAGGUCACACCAUGGCUUAUAUUGUGACUCAUAUGAGAAUGUGCUAGAAAGAGCUGCCUCCAUCAGGCCAGAAAUCUCAGCUGCCUCCUCUGCCCACACUCCCAUUCUAUGUCCCCUCUGCUUGAAACAAACUCCCAUCCUUUAUUGUCUGCUUUUUUGGACUUAAAUUGCUCCCCUUUCAAGAUUGAGUUAAGAACCCCUGUUUGAGUUUCCAGAGACUGUGAGCUCCCCUUCAUCACAGCACACAAUGUGUCUUUCCUCCUGUGAGAACAAGAAUGGGUGUUAUUUUACUUAGGUUUAUCCCUAAUGCCUGCUGUAUGUCCCUGACAGGCAGGCGAUACGUGAUGCUGAACCGAGCCGCAGAGCAAAGCCCGUCUUAUGUGGAAAGCGGGCAGACUGAUAUCACUUGGAGGGUCGUAAAAGUUGAACACUGAUGUAACAGACGUCUGCAAUCAUAUUAUCUCUAACGUAUGAAAAGCAGGAUUCAAAGAGAAACAUGGGUUAGGAGCCCAGGACACAGAGCCGCAGACACCUUCUGAGUUGGUGAUUCAGCAGUUCUUCCAGCCCCCACCCGCGCCCAGACCCACAGGCAGUGAUGAGAGCCUCUGACCAUCAGGCCGGUGCCCUCUGUCCGGGCCCCAAGCUUGGGGAGGGCAGCUCUGAGCCUCCAGCUCUUAAAACAGUGACUGGCCCACUGCUUAUCCUGACAGGGGUGAAUAGGAGGGGAAGGUGAUCAGCGGUCCUAGAAGUGAGCCCAGGCCAAGUGACCGACAGGCCCAAGACAGGGAGGAGGAAAGCGGGUGAGAGGCUGCACUGCAUGGUUGGGGUAUGAGGCAGCCGGGGUGGAGUGUGGGGGAUCUUGGGGCAGGCAGGAAGGGGUGGGGGAGGGACAAGCGGGCACCUCUUUCUCGGGGAGGUGGGAAGAGCAAGGUGGGCAGGCGCCAGUCAUCCUAGGUGUCCUUUCCCCAAUCCCCUGCCCCCUGACCCACCCUGAAUUCCCACACAAACCCCAACAGCUUUGAUGACAACCUGUCAUCCUCAGGACCACACCUGGGCUGUGGUGUGUGUGUGUGCGCACAGGCGUGUGUAUGUAUGUGUAGACGUGUGGGUACAUGAAGGUGUGUACACAGGGGGCGAUGACGUAGGACCAAGGGAACGUCGCAAAGCCGGUGAGUCUGCACAUCUGUUCUGACUCUUGCGCUGUCCUCCGGCUCUGGGAAGGUGAUCACUGGUUGCAGGUGCCCUCUGCCCGGGCGGGACCAUGGGCCCCUGAGCCUCGGGCUCAGUUGGUUCCCCGCCUCUCCUGCUCUGACCCGCUGGGCAGCUUGUGCAGGAACCCGGGCCCCGCCGGGUGAGCGCUCCCCAAACUUUCCCUCGGGAGGCUGGCGUGUCCGCCACAUGUGUGAUCCCGAGAGCAGGGACCUCUCCUCUGUAAACAGCCGACAUGUGGUGCACAUUUACAGAGAAUCCGCACAAAGACUUGGAAGGCAAGGCUUUGGUUUUGCAUUUGAAUUGCUUUUCUGAUGUUGUAGGCAUGUGGCUCUCGAAUCUGCUGUUAUAUUUAGAAGGUGAUGUCAUGUUUGCAGGACCCUCUGCCACAGCGCGACUGUCAGGAGGCGCGUUCUCGGGGGAGGUGGUGGGUUCUCCGGACGGGGUUGGGGACAGAGGGACCCAUGAGCCUUGGUCCUGAGGAAGCAGCACAGCAGGCCCCCUCCUGUCCUGACAGGAUGCUGAUAUCACAUUGACUCUAAGCUCAUGUCCCUCUGUGUUCAGCUUCCUCUCUUUCUUGAUGGUUUCAGGGGGUCAAAGCAUACCCCAAAUUCUUCAGAAAUGCCAGGACGAGAAGCUGUGGGGCCCACUGCCUGCUUCAUGACAGGCUGGUCACGGUAAGACUGGGCAAGGAGUGCAGUUCCAGGGCUCUUUCAGCCUUCAGGAUUCAUGAAAAGUUUGAAGUCACACAAAAAGGAUGCUUAAGGUGUAAUCCUAUCUUACGCUGACAAUUGUUCAAGCUGGGAGGCGCUUCCCAGAAACAAUGGCACAGCCUCGGAGCCAAGAGGAGCCUAGAGCUGUUCCUCUGCGUUUGAGUUACUCCUCACAUUUGCUCCAGCGGAGGUGGUAGUUCGGGCAGUGGUGGGGGCGGGGAGUCCAAGAACAGACCUGGGGACGCAGGGGGUGCUGCGCUGUUGUGCUCCUAUGCAGAGUCGAGGAUGCCAUGUAGACUGCUAAGGCAGGGAGGAGAGCUGCUCUGUGUCCUCGGGGUAGAGGGUGUGGGGGAGUCUGCAAUUUGUGUGGACGGAUGGAGCUGGGAGACUGGGGGGCGGGCUGGCCGGAGUGGGAGGCCCGGGGCUGCAGGUGGUGGGGCGUUAUCUGCUUCCUGAGUCAAGGUCAGCAGGUGGCCGCUUCCCGGUUGAUACUGGAACCCAAAUAUUUCUUUUAAAGGGAAACUUUCAAAGACAAGCGGGUUUACUCCGUGCCCUCUGACGGCCAGUCCCCGCGUGCUAUUUGCGGCCAACUUAAUCACACAGCCUCACGACCUGCAGCACAAUUGUUUGAUUUGUUUUGACUCAAAUUUCCCCUCUCUCAACAGUCUGAGUUUUGUCAAAGGAAAGGAGCCGGAUGGAGUCCAAGCCCUGGGAUUCGGGGUUUGCAGUGGGAGGAGAUGUGGGGUCUGUGUGCAUGUGUGUGCAUGCAUGUGUAUGCGUGUGUGCACACGUGCCUGCUCACUCCCCACCUUUCAAACAGCUCUGGAAACUGGAUCCAAAAAUGUUUACUCUGAUCAUCUUGAGGGGGAUGGGGGGGACAGGAUAAUGAAGGACCAGGUGUCUACACUGGCUGUAGCAGGCUGCCUGGAGCAGGGGAACUGAGGCGUUGAGGGGAGUGGGCCCACGCUCUCUGGGGUCCUUUCCUCCUGCCGUCAGCUCUCCAAGUCCUGCCAUCACCUGCUGACCUCUAGGCGGGUCAGACCCUGAUAGGGACACAACUGUGGCCCAUCUAGUGCCCUGAACACUGGAUUCGGCCACGGACACAGGAGAGCUGAGUGUCAUGGAGACCCUGCGGACGCACUCGCUGCUGGGGAGAAGGUUGAGCCCAGACCAGCCUUGGAGCGCUCUGGUGGCUCAGCCAAGCUCAGGCGUGCAGGCUUCGCAGAAAGGUGUAUGAAGGAGCGGACACCUGGGAUAGUCAUGAAGGGCUCUGUUUUUUAGUGUCUCAAGUUAUCAGCACAAUUUUAUUAUCUGGACUGUUUGCACAUUCCAAAAUGUGUUUGAGGGAACAAGACAACUUCCAAACAGCCGAGGUUUGGUGCCAAAUUACUAAAAGGGAAAAAUGAUUGGGAAUUUUAGAAGAGCUGUCAUAAAGCAGUCCUGUAACAACUGGUUUUAUAAACCAACUUUGCUCAGAAAGAAAUAAGUAUGCAGGGAUCCCAACAAUAAAUUCAUUGUUUUGAAAUAAUGUAUGAUUUUUCGUACCUACUUCUAAAACAUAUCCAAAGGCAGGAAACAAGGUCCUCCAGAGAGAAGAGAGGGUGAGGAAGCUUUUCACAGCAUCCAUGGCCAAGUAGACCCCCUAAAAUCAAAGCAUAAACUGCUGCUGACGGCCGUGGAAGUGACAUCAGAGAGAAGGGCUGACUCACAUCCUCGAGACUCCAGCAGGAGAUUACAUGGAGCCAGUGACCCCGGGGUGUCUGUGCAACACCCAACAGCUGGGCCCUCGGGUUUGCAUUUCGUUCACAUCAAAGGCACCGCCAAACCCAAAUGAGGUUCUCUGGGAGCAUGGCUGUCCUUUGAUAAUGGGCUUGUGGGGCGUGUCCUUGGCUGUUACAAGGGUCGCGUGGGGUUUCAGUGCUGUUCUAUGUGAGGAAAACCAUAUUAGAACAUUAUACAAAGUGAUUUCAAGUUGCAUUAGAAGAUUGUAACUUUUCUGGUUAAAGCUAACAAAUGCUUUGGGAGGCCCUGAGCCCAGGAUUUGGUGGGGGGCUUGCUGCUUCCAUGAACUUUCACCACUUAACAGUGACCAUGACCUUCUCCUUUGCACGCGGUGUCUAGGUCACUUGUGUUGGCUUCUCUGUCACAGUGUCCCCCACACACUGUCCUGGGAGAUACACAGUGUGUUGAAGGAAAAAACUUAGAUGUGGACAUUAUCAGCAUAGUGACUUCCCAUUGCUCUUUUGUUUGGGGGCACAGGGGUCCAAUCGUAGAGACCCACCUGGUUCGGAGGCUGUUCUGUGUUGGGGGAAGGGUGGAAGCCUUAGUGUGGGGCACAUUUAAAUGACUUUCUUGCUCCUUGCCUGACCGUGGGUCAGGUUCUGGGAAGAGGGGACAGGCCUACUGUCCUGGGCUGGUUGCCCAUCAGACGAGAGGAGCCCCUGGCUUCUUUACCAGACCCUGUCCCCUGCUGACAGAAGGAUGGUUUUUCUAAGAACAAGAAGACAGGAGAGUGUCCCCCUGUGCUGUGAAUGAGGGACGUUCCCGUGUCACAAACAGGACACAUGGAGCACAUGGGUUGCCUGCCCAGCUCCUGGUGACCCCCGGCCUCACACUUACUUAGAUUUCUCCAGAGUGAAACGUUUAGCUGAAAAUGUGAAAAUGAUGAUGGAGUUAUUUGGGAUCGAGAGGAAUGUGAAGUUCUGAGAAAAGGAGGCAGUGACAUACAGCAGGCGGGAGGUUGGGGGUCGUGCUGUGGGGACGUCUUGCCUGUCCAGUCCCGGGGCCCCUGGGGUUCAGACCAGGCAGGUGGGGGGCUGAGCGCUGCUGGGGCCUCAUCGCUGUGCCCCUGAGUCCAUGGUCAUGUCUAUAACACGGCGUGCAGGGCCACAUGUGGUCCUGGUGUGUUUCUUUUCCUUAAAUGAAGAUUGUGGAUACACAGAAGAUGCACUUCCAGACGCCCUCCCUGGGUUUCCGCUGAGACCCAGACCAGGCUCCAUCUCAGGAUGUGGAAGUGACUGCCCGGGCUGGGCUCACAGUCAGCGUCCAUCUCAACUAUCUCUGACCUUUGACCUCUAACCUUUUGACAGAGGAGGGAGUUUUCUGAGUGUCAGGACUGUCAGGGCCAGGGGUUAUGCCCGCCCCUACUCUGCUCUCAGAGGCAAACUUUGAACGUGAUUAAUGAUGGCAGAAAUUAGAGAGGUGCAGAGUACAGUCGGCGGGCUGAGCCAUCUGUCUAUGAGGGCUGUUUUCUGGCUCUUUCUCUCAUGCAACACCUUCAUGCCAGGCCCAAUAGCAUGUGUUUAAUGGCUGGACAGGACGGCCGGCGGCUCUGGGGGCCUCAGCCGGCAUCCACGAGCUCGGGUUGGGUUGGGCGCUCCCUGGAUGGCUGGUUUUGCUCCAGGACAGACAGAGCUGCUGAGAUGUGUUCAGAUUCAGUUUGUGUAGAAAUGAGGGGGAUUUUAUGUGCAGUGUUCUUGGCUAUCUUGGGGGGCUGGGCAGUGUCAGGGAAGAGGAGCUCGGCCUGCAGGCCAGAUGGGUGGUCCUGCCUUGGAGCCCACCUCCCCAAGUGUGGAUGGUGCAGCCCAUCACGUGGCACUUCUGCCCUUGGCCCCGCGAUGCUGUGGGAAAGGACCAACCUUCUCUCCAUUAUUCUAAUUUUUUCUUUCAUGUUCAACGAUUAUAUUAGCUUUCACUUUGACAUUGCCAAAAGAGCCUUUCUGUAUUCCUUCAAGAAAGAUGUGUUACAGAGUGAAGUAAACUGACUUCUCACCAUGUCACCUUUGUCUUGAGGGUGGGGGGGGUCUGAGGGGUUUUUUAGUUACUUAUUUGCUUGGGCAACUUUCGAUCUUUCCUCUUCCCCCAUGUCUGCCCCAGUGAAGACUGACAAACUACAGGGAAAAGAUAUGUAACACUUCUAACAUUAAAUUCUGAGUCUUUUUCCUUCCACUAAAGAAUCUUAGGAUUGUUAUUCUUCGUGGGUUGAUGGCUAAAUAGUUCUAUAAAAUUAUAGCCUUUGCUUCCUGUUUUGCAGGGUUAUCUGAAAUCAACUCCUCGGAUAUAGACCAGCUGCAAAACAUGGGCUUGCAUUAGCUGAUUCAGGGCCCAGGGACAGGACUGGUCUGGUCGGGUGGCCCAGCUCCUGCGUGAACACAGUUGCCGGACUGUGGGUCCCACUGUGACCUGCCCAGGGCUGCAUCUCUGGCUCUGAGGUGGUAGCUGACUCUCUCACCUGGACGGAGAUGUCCCUCCUCCUUCCUUGACCAUCCAAGUCUUGGCUUCUGACCCCUGGCCCAUUUAUGGAUGAAAAAUCUCAGGCCAAGAGGCUGGGCAUAAGCUGACCCCAUGUUAGGGGGGCUGCCAGGCCAUGGCUGCUCCUGCCUCAGCCCGCCUGCCCCAACCCUCCAGAUGUGACCCCCUGUGACUUGAGUCAGGAGGAGGCACUGGUUCCUUGGACGCCUGCCCGGAGGAGGAGGCAUUUCCUUUCCUCUGUCUCCUUGUAACCUGCAGGCUGCCCUGCCACCUCCUAGGUCCCAGCUCCGGGGGAUUUGGUGGCCAGGCAGGAAGACUCAGGAAAUCCUUGUCACUCCUCAUCUCUAUUAUGUGGUCCAUCUCCUUGGAAACACACUUGUGUUGGACCAGAUAAGCUGUCAGCCUCCGAGGGGCCUUUCACUGAUGUGCAUGGCCUCUCCCCUGUUUAUUUAAGCCUGGCCUGAUGGUCAGAUUCUGUCAGACCCCAUGGUUCACAGGUUGUCUGCAGCCCUUAGUCACCCCCACCCCCUCAGGUGCAUCCUUGAAGGGAAAUAAUUAAGGAAACACUCAGGGAUGUGCAGGUUGGCUGACCUCACAGCCAGGAGGGAGGGAGGCAGUGCCAUCCAGGCUGGAGUUGUAGGGAGGUGGUGGGGGGCGCCCCUCAGCCUCCUGGGGCCUGCUUUCUUCUGCAGAUGGAGGAGGGCAACCACCAUCUGGGAGAGAAGCAGGCCGUCUUCUGUGUUUACACAGAGAAGGGAGGCCCAUGCGAUGAGCACGGGUGUUAGGAGAGAGAAAGGUGCUUAUAAACAUCACAGCAGCGUCUCUGUGGUCCGGCAGUUUUUCCAUUAUAAACUCAUUGUCGGGGGUUUAAAACCUGCUGUGAAGACUCCAGGGUAGAGCUCGCCAUCGGGGUGUACUGGGAGCAAAGUUUUCUCCACCGGGUCCUUACAACUGCAUGUCUGCUCUGUCCGAUACUGUCUGUAUCCUUGUGGAGCUGGGAGGCCAGGGGACCCAGCAGAACCCCAGGGCAGGGCCGAGGCUCUGGUCCCCAGGGAAGGGGAGUCCAGUCAGCAGUCCUGUAGUGGGUGUGCAGCGUGGUCUGCAUAUAACGCUUUCUCAGCUGGUGUAAGUGAAGCCUGGGAUCCAGAGAGUAAGCCCAGACACCACUGGACAGGGAAGCAGGUAGGAAAGUGCACUUGGCAUUAAGGCUGGUGUCUGAGAGCAGAUGUGCCCUCAGCCCCGCGACUUCAUGCCUGUCACCAGCAAGGCUGCCAUCCCAAGAGACUAUGGUCACUGAGGAAAGCUCAGUGGUUUUGCUUUGAUCCAGAAAGUGAACAGUCAAAACAAAAGUGAUCAGCAAAUUCAGCCCAGGGUUACAGGAAGAUAAUCAAAAUAUAGGCAGAGAGUUUUCAGAAUUAAUCUGCAAACAAUCUUAGGCUAACAAAGCCACUUUGGAUGGAAAUGCUUUCCUCUCAUUUAAUAAUAGCAGCAAGUGGGCAGUUUCAUGGAUGGGCUGUCUUUGAUGGGUCUCAGCCUAAACCGAGGACAAAGUUGAUGGUUAGCAAAGCUUCCGCCCAUUGCCAGGGCCAGCUCUCUCUCUCGGGGUGGGCCUGCAGUUGGCCUGCCAGGACUCCCAGGGCUGUGAGGUGUGACCCACCUUCCCCUGUGAUGUCAGCUCCUCUGGUCCCAAUGACUUCUGCUCUUUUGUCACUAAAUCCUUCCCAAUUCUGUCACAUUCCUGACCGGCUACCUGUGAUGCCUGUCCCUGGAGUAACAGCCUGUCACCAGAGAUAUCCAAGUAGUUAAAGGAGAAGAAAGAUGCUUCAGACAAUAGACCAGGAAGCUUAACUGAGCCUGAGAAGUGCAUAAGAGGCCUCAGGGCUAAGGACAUUUAAAGUGAGAAAGAAAGACCACAAUGAAAUGAAGGCUGUGCCCCCGGACGGAUGCUCUGGUCUCCGUUCACUCAUCCAGCUGCCGUUGUGCGUGGUCAGGGGCGAAUCCCAAGAUUAACGAAUUGCCUUCAGUCCUCAGACAUGGGUUGUGUUGGUCUGCAGCUAGUGUCACCUCAGAGUCACUGUCAUUUCUACACUGGUCAAUCUUAUCAGAGGAAAGACGGCUGGCAGUCACCACUGAUUCAAUGUUGUCAGGAGCAGGGCUUGACUGAUGUAUAGGAGGCUGACUGAGCUUCUUAAGGAAGGAGAUCACUGGGAAAACUGGCCCUUCAGUCUCAGCUGAGGCCAGAGCCUCAGAAAGUAAGCAACCCAAGGCGAGUGUCCUCUCCAUGGCCCUGGCCCAAGUGUGGAUCCUGGGGAUCAAGGACUGGAGCCUGUUUUAAUGCACAGUUACCUUCCUCCUGGAGCCAUGGGUGGGGGCCCGUAAACCAAGGGAGGUUGGAAAUGUCAGCAGUGAAAUUCACAGUUCCCUUCCCAGCCAGGGCAUGAUGUUCAGGUGGAUCAGAAUACUUUAAAAGAAAAUCAAGUGCUCUGAAACACCCUCCUUAUCUCAUCUGGCACAAGGCUUUCUGGAGCAGUGAGACAUGUCACUCACAGUGAGUGACAAGAGGCUGGGCACUUGAGCAGUGGAGUGUCGGCUUAGUUUUGUUUAGAAGAUAAGUAGACACAUAAGGGGAGCCUGGGGGCUGGCCGGACCCUCCCUUCGAUGGCACCUCCUGCAAGGGGGCUUCCUCUUUGCCCUAUCUGUGUUUUGCGGCCCCUCAUCAUCCCAUAGGGACCACGGGCAGUAAGACCCAUACAUAUGUGUCUGUGCAUAGUUGCUCAGUCGUGCCUGACUCUGCGACCCCAUGGACUAUAGGCUCCUUUGUCCACGGGGAUUCUCCAGGCGAGAAUACUAGAAUGGGUUGCCAUGCCCUCCUCCAGGAGAUCUCUCCAACCCAGAGAUCAAACCCAGGUCUCCUGCAUUGCAAGCAGAUUUUUUUAAUCAGCUGAGCUACCUGGGAAUCUAGCGAGACCUGUAAACACACAUUAACUAUUACUUUCAAGUGAAACAACAAGCCAAUAAACAAGGAGAUGCCUGCCCUCCCGGGCUGCAUGCGGGCCGGGCACUUUACAGUCUGCACUGCUUCCUCCCAUGGUGUCGGGGGCCUGGGACUGGAAGAGCCCCAAGAGUUUGAAGACCCUUCACUGACUUGGAGCCAUGGAUGGAAACACAGCAUCACUGUACUUCCUUCAUAAUUAACACUCGGUGGAGAAGCUUGUUGCUUGUUCUGAAUGAAUUCUCUUCAGGAGGCACUCUUGAAAUCUUUUACUUCAUUUUGAAGCCUCACAGACUUAUGUUGGCUCCUUGUAGCUGUUAAUUCUUUUCUCCCAAAUUAAACAGGACACGCAAGUUACGCAGCACAGCACCCAAGAAUACACAGAGUCCUCCUGUGAGCGGAGGUCGACACAGCUUUCAAACAAGCCUGCACUGACUUCCCCUCUUACUGACGUUGCUGAUUAAGCUCCUUCACUUCUCUUGGUUUCUUUCUCUGUUCAACUUUGAUCCUGGAGUGCCAGGGCCUCAGACUGUCCACAGGAGGAGGAUCCACUCAGGACGGUUUUUAGUACUUUUUUUCGUGAAAGAGAGACGCUUCCCACCGCGCGGCCCCUGGGCUGCUGGGCAGCCGCGCUCGUCAUCAAGACCGGCACAGGAACUGGGAUGAGGCUCUGUUUGUUGAUUUCUCUUCAUCAGCGAUGGCCAGUGGCCAGAAGGCGGCCCUGGCGACGCACAGCAACACAGGACACGGUCUGUGUAAACACCUCCUGCCUGGCCCUGCUCAGACGUCAGCCCUGACUAGGGUAUGUCAGAGACGCUCUGAUGAACAAGCUGGGCAGUCUGAGACGCUCCGAGUCUGCCCCAGGGGUGUCACAAAAAAACUUUAAUGUCAGAUAUGAAGUUUUGAAGACAAGAAGGUAAUGAAAUAGCUCGAUGUUGGAGAAAAAUUGCAUAGACGUCCUAUGGUCACGGAUGUGGAAGGCCCAGGAUAGGGGAGCCGCUAGCCUGGGCCCUGUUAUGUCCUGCUCCUCCCCCGUGUCCUGGGCUGGCCAGGCGGCCGUCCUCCAAGCUCAGGUGUUGCUAGACUUCCCCAGGCGUAAGGGCCGUGAUGGAGAGGGAAUGAACACGGAGUCCUCGGGGGAUGGAGAGCCACCCACACCCAAGGUGGACUAAGGCUGACUGAGGCCACACAGCCAGCCCUCAGCAUCUGUCGCCGAGGAUGCACAGACCGCCUCCGACUAAAGGAAUGGGGACAAGAUCGAGCCGCUGGCACAUGGGUCUGAGGAGUGACUUACAAAGAGUGUAACAUGCAUGGAGAAAAACUCGCACAUCUCUAUUGAGGCUCAAUUAAUAAUGCUCUACACAACUGCCUUUCUUGUUGAGUCAUGUGAAGAAAUGGCUAUUUUUCUUUGCUGAUUAGGGAUCUGAAAUUAAAUGAGCCAAUAGUUUUCAGGGGCAGGCGUAUUAUCUUGUGCUUCCUCCACUUCAUCCUACCGGAAAGCCAGAACCCUCGAACAGAUGUUGCUCAGAUUUUCCCAAUAUGUGAAUAAGUGACCCCUGGAGAAAGAGAAAAUCCUAGCAUGGGAAGUUUUCAGGGAAAAUGCUUUGUUUUUCAGAAAAUUGUACAUAAAGAAAAAUGAGAUAAAUGGGAUUUAGGGAGAAAAUACUUAGGGGACUUUAACUGUUUCUUCCCAGCAGCAAGGUGAUAGUAAGGAUUUAUCCUUUUGCAGCUUUUCCUUUUGUGAUUUUUGUCAUCAGAAGCUACUCUGUGUUCAUUUGUUUUUGGCUUCUCACUCUGCUUUAUUUUAUACUAAAAGACUUAAAAGAUCUCUUCCUUUUCACCAUAUUCCUGUUUCCAUGACUACAUAAGAUUUCUUAAAAAAACACACACACACACACAGAGUAUUUCUAGAAGUUGUACAGUGUUUUCAAUAACACAUCUAGGAAGAAACUGGGCUUCCCUGGUGACUCAGAUGGUAAAGAAUCUGCCUUUAGUGCAGGAGACCCAGGUUUGAUCCCUGGGUCAUGAA